CCUACGGGUGGCUGCAGUGGGGAAUAUUGGACAAUGGGGGCAACCCUGAUCCAGCCAUGCCGCGUGUGUGAAGAAGGCCCUCGGGUUGUAAAGCACUUUCAGUGAGGAAGAACGCCUGGUGGUUAAUACCCAUCAGGAAAGACAUCACUCACGGAAGAAGCACCGGCUAACUCCGUGCCAGCAGCCGCGGUAAUACGGAGGGUGCGAGCGUUAAUCGGAAUUACUGGGCGUAAAGCGCGCGUAGGUGGCUUGAUAAGCCGGUUGUGAAAGCCCCGGGCUCAACCUGGGAACGGCAUCCGGAACUGUCAAGCUAGAGUGCAGGAGAGGAAGGUAGAAUUCCCGGUGUAGCGGUGAAAUGCGUAGAGAUCGGGAGGAAUACCAGUGGCGAAGGCGGCCUUCUGGACUGACACUGACACUGAGGUGCGAAAGCGUGGGUAGCAAACAGGAUUAGAUACCCUAGUAGUC
rnacentral:rRNA from 1 species